CUUGCCCUUCUCUCUCGCUCUUUCUCUCGCUGUGCUCUUUGCCUGGUUCUGUAGUGAUGGUGGAACACUGGUCGUGUGGAAUGCAUCGACAACGCCUGGCUGAAGGUCAGUUAGAAUGUCGGUUGUCUGCACCACCCUAGGCAACAAAGGAAGCAUAUCUACUGGCAAGAUGUUUUCCUUCAAGCUGGAUCUUGAGCUGCUGAAAAUGUGGAAUGGUGGCUGAUCCAUCCUCAGUGAUGCAAGUUGAUUCCAAGUUAAAGGGUAAAAAUCAUGCUGAAAGAACCAUGAUGUCCCUUUCAGGUUGGCUUAGUCUGUGGAGUCGUAGCUCCUGUUGUGUUCCAGAUAUCUAAUUAAAAGGCUGAUCACCUUACAGACAGGGACCCCUGUGCACAGAUCCAGAUUUAAUCACUGGUGUGGAGUCCCUGCUUCAGCUGUUUCUGCUCAUGAAAUGAUGGGAGUGACUUGGUGAGAUGAAAUGGUGCAUGGAGCUUCACAAGCUUAAAGCAGCUGCUACUGGAGUGACUUGCUCCUAGAUGAUCACUGAUUUUUGUAUUUUUUUUUUGUUUAUUUUAAUAAAUAAUCAUUUGCCUACUAA